CGGCUAUGUCACUAAUGUAUCCACUGAUAAAGGCCCACACUGCUGUAUGGGAAUCGGCGCCAUUUUUCGUGGCAAGAAGCAAUACCCAGUUUCUCAAUUUUUUCUACAAGUAAACUCAUUGAUAUACUGCACGAAAAAGGGAAAAAAUCAAGGAUUCACGACAAUGCUUUCCCGGGAUGACUUUUAAAAUACGACAACUUUGAAAUGGAAGAAAUCA